CUUCCAGUAAAGGGAAGAACACGAUAGAAAUGAAUGCCCAAAGAAGAUAGUCUCCCAAUUUGUUAAAUCGUAUGGGGGAAAAUUCAGGCCAACGGCCAAACAAAAGAGUUGGAAGAGAGGUGGGGGAAAAUACUAGGCAAAAACCUCCUUCUUUAACAAUUAACAAUGAACCAUCGUUAUCUAUUAUAGAAGUAGUAGAAGAAAUUAUCCAUGGAUUGCAUAGCCACGUGGGUGAAAGUUCCAGAAUGGUGGAUGAUGUGGUGGUGGGUGAUGCUUCGGGUGAUGAGUCACUAGAAGACGCUGAUGUAGCUUGAUUUUGGGGUUGUUCACAUUGGCUGCUGCUAAGAAACUUCUUCUCAAGCUGAUGCAUGCAUAAUUGAUGUUCAAUGAACCACAUUUAUGGAGCUCCAUGCACUUGGACGUGCAUGCAUGUGGAAGGUGCUGAACACAACAUUCCAAGUUUCUUCUCAUGAAAAGCCAAGUGUGUCCACACUUGACAAAUUGGUUGGCUACUAAGUUCACACCUAUGAAGCCAUUCAAUUCUUUCUGUUCACACUUGAAAACUCUUUAUGCGACAUAAGCAGCAAUAAUGAGCUACAUAACCAUUCGGUUUUCCAAGUAGCAUCAAUUCAUGUUCACACCAUUUCAACCGUUCAACUCCAUGCAGAUUCAGCUAAUCUUCAAGGUCCAAGGAAAUUGGCUGAUUGGGAAUGCAAAUGUCACAAUGUGAACAAGGCUGCUGGAGUUACCUACAUCUAAAAACUCUCAAGGGAUGUCUUGGACAAAUUAACGGUCAUUAAACUCAUUCAAUCUGAUUGUUAACAUGCCUAUUCAGCUGAUUUAUUGUAUAGCCUAUAAAUACUAGGCUUGAAACACUUUGUAGGAACUUUUGAUGAAAUUUUAUCUUAUUGUGAGUGUUCUCUCUCUUUGUUCA